GUGGUUGCCCGACUCAAGUCGCCCGCGCGUGUCGCGGAGCCCCGCGGCAGUUGUGGUUGGGUGGCUUCUGUGGUGAGCGUCUGCGCUUGGUGACCAAAGGUUUGAGGGAAAGUGGAAGAGACAGGGUCAGGCCUCCUGUGCUCCAACCCCAGCCCACCCGGCCUGUAUGGGGACGUUGCCUCUUCACUUGUUCCCGUUUUGUAUUCACCUUCGAUUUCCCCCUCACAGUUGCCACCCGCAAACAUGAUGCAGAAUCAGUCACUUUGAAAGACCCACAGAGGGUCCAGCUAGAGCCCUCUGUGGACCGCAGAGUCCCACCAGCUACAGCCCACUUCUAUUACCAUCAGAAUUCCUCCUAAAAGUUGCCUGCAUUCUCUGUGUACGCUCACUUCCCAUCCUCUUCUCUUCAAAUGGCUCUGAUGGAGCUUUCCUCCCCACCCAGCCACUGCAGUGGCGCUUCACAAGGUCACUUGAGACGGUCAUAUUGCUACAUAGCAGCUGUCAGUUCCGUCCGCCUCUCUGCCCUAGAAAGAGCGCGACUAUGUAGCUCUCGUCCUCCUCAUCUUUAUGGCUCCCUCUACAUUUUGGGCCCCAGUUUUACUUCUGUGACUUCAUAUGCUCCAGGUUUUCCACCCUCCUCACUGGCUCCUUCUAUCCUUUUUUUGGAUCCAUUCCCUCUGUUCUGCCAAAAGAUGAAGUGUGCCCUGGCUCAGGCCUUGAACCAGAUCUUCUCUCGUCUGCAUAUGUUCUCCUGGGUGAUCUAAUUAGUUCCAUGGCUUUAAAUACACUGAUGGCUCCUAGCCUAGCCCUCUUUCAACUCCAGUCAUAUAUCUUACUGCCCGCUUGACUUACAUGUGUUAACUGAGCUAACACGUGUAAAGAAUGUAGGACAGUGCCUGGCAUGUAGAGAGCGCUGACACAUGAUAGCUGAUAUUUUCUCCAACAUAAAUAUGGCAAACAUAUAACAAUAACGCCUGUACCCUCCCCCAUGCCAGUAAACUAUGUCAUCAUCCACCCACUUGUUCAGAAAAAAGGGAAUCAGCCUUGAUUCUUUGCCUUUUAUGAUACCUAAACCAUAUACAUCAGCAAAUCUUGUUGGUCCUGUCUCCAAAAAUUUAUCUUAAAUCCAAUCACUUCUGACCCUCUCAACUGCUAAAACCCUACUCCAAGCCACUGGUAUUAAUUUUCUGUAAUUGUUGUAACAAAUUGUGUUGUGUGUUGUUUUCAGCCACAAACUUGCUCCCUUUACUCAAAUUUAUUUUCUCACAGUUCUGGAGGCCAAGGCAUCAGCAGGGCCACAGGCCAUUGUAAGGGCUCUAGGGGAGAAUCCUUUCCUUGCUUCUUCUAGCUUCUAAUGGUGGCCAGCAUUCUCUGACUUGUGGCCACGUCACUCCAAUCUCUGUCUCUGAGGUCACAUUGCCUCCUUCUGUGUCAAAUCUCCCUCUGCUUCUCUCUUACAAGGAUGCUUGUGAAUGCAUUUAGAGUCCAUCCUUAUAAUCCAAAUAAUCUCUCCAUCUCAGUAUCCUAAGACAAUUUCUUCUGUAAAGUAUUUGCCAUAUAAAGUAAUCGGCUGCACACGGUGGCUCACGCCUGUAAUCCCAGCACUUUGGGAGGCCAAGGCGGGUGGAUCACUUGAGGUCAGGAGUUUGAGAUGUGCCUGCCCAACAUGGUGAAACCCUGUCUCUACUAAAAAUACAAAAAAAAUUAGCUGGGCAUGGUGGCAUGGGCCUAUAAUCCCAGCUACUCGGGAGGCUGAGGCAGAAGAAUUGCUUGAACCCAGGAGGAGGAGGUUGCAGUGAACCGAAAUUGCACCACUGCACACCAGCCCGAGUGACAGAGCAAGACUCCAUCUAAAAUAAAAUAAAGUAAUCUCCACAAGUUUUGGGGAUUAGGACACAGAUAUCUUUUCUGGGACUAUUUUUAAGCCUACCAUACCACUAUCAUCUCUCACCUGGUCUGUGGCUACAUCUUCCUAAUGGAUCUGCCUCCUACUUUAACUUGUACUCUCACAAAGCAGGGAAAAUUUCCUCAAAGAUCAAAUCUUUUGCUUAAAAUCUGUGAGUGGUGCAAUCCAAAAUCCUUAUCAUGGCCUCAAGGACCUACUUAAUUGGGCCCUUGGCUUCUUCUCUGGCAUCAUCCCCCAACUUUUCCCACUUUGUCCUCCCACCUUUUUGCUAUUUCUCAAGUGUGCCAAGUAUCCUAGAGGGAGUUCUUUUGUCUCUGGAGCACUCAAUUCUCCCCUCAGCCCCCACCCCAUCCCCCAGCCCACCACCCAGCUGUUCAUCUGUUUGCUCCCUUCUCAUCUUGUAAAUCUCGGCUAUAAGAUCACCCACUCAGCUAUAAAAUCCCUCAUUCAGAAAGCUCCCUUUCCUCAGUCAUGCUCUACCUCACUGUGCCCUAUUGUAUCUUCUUCAUGGCACUUACUUUCUGAAAUCAUCUCAGGGACUUGUUUGUGUGUUUGUUAUUGGUAUACGAUGAUUGUUGACUAGCCCAGCCUUCUCCUCUGCAGCCUAAAUAUCUCAAAUGACAUGGUGUGCAAACAUGAACACCCUUAGGAUGAGCCCAGUGUGUCCUGUGCAUAUUCCUUUUGAUUUGUGGUAUCAGUGACUCAACAUACUUGUCUGACUAGUGUAAGGUAGGAAGGAAGAUGUCCCAGCUACUUUACUCAUUAAUGAAUGUGUAACUUUUCCAGCUACUUUACUCAUUAAUGAAAGUGUAACUUUCACAUCAAAAGAGCAGGACUCCAUCGAGAACAAACUUUAUCCUUUCCUCAUGGUCCCUUAAUAGAUAUCUGCAAAAUCCUUGUGGUUUCAUCCAAGGGAAUGAAAGGUCUUGUAAUUCUUGGUUACUCUUAGAAUGUUGGGUCUCACUUUGAGACCCAAGAACAUUUUUGGUUCUCUUGGUUUGAUCUUGUUUAAAAUAAUAAAAUGAAAUUACUGCCAAUGCCCAGCUCUUCAAUAACCGUCUCCAAAUAAAUCUCUCAGCCUCUCUUUAAUUUCUUAUAUCAUCUAGGUAAGGAAUGAGCCAACUCUCUCAAAAACAGUCACCAGCCCCUUCCUUUGUAAGUGCUGCAAGGGAGUGCUAACAUUUUAAGGAGGGGUUCUCUGUAAACAUUGGUUCUCUGCCUUUAGUGACCUCAUUGCAGUCUGAGACCUUGAAUUCCAUCUUAGCAUCCCAUUACAAAGGCUAAGAUUAAAUGUGAGCUAUUUGUAUUUUUGUCACUGUUGAGCUUUACAGUUUACAGACUGCUGAAACUGCCAAUUCUUUUAUACACAUAAAAGGGUCCAUGUGGAGGACAUAUUUAUCUUCAUAACAUUUAUUUUUCCUGGACUAUGCAUGGCACCAUAGCGCUCUUCUUAUCUCCUGCUUUGGCACAGCCAAAUCUAAUAUUGCUGUACCCUCUGAACUUUUAGUAUCUUCUCUCCAAAGAGAAAAACUACUUUCCACUCUCCAGAUCCAAGGAGGAAUGAGCCAAAUUGCUACAGAAGUUGAGUCAACCCACUGCCCUCAAAUCCUGAGAUGUAUUCCCAGUGGGAAAAGGAACACUCCUUCAGGACUUUGUACCCCAAAUUCCACGAGACCCACAGACACCCUCAGCCCAGCCCAGCUCCAGGUAUUUGCAUGAACCUCCCUCUUUCUCAGCCCUCAUCCUCUCAGUGACUGGUGUCUUCAUCCUCCAACUAGUCAUCAUUGCUGGGAGUGCAAUUCCGUUUCCCCUGAGCCCCUGACAACUGAAGGGUGGUGCCUCUACCCUGAGUCUGAUCAUGCCCUAGUGCGGCUGACCUGGGCGCUCUGUGAUGCCAUGUGGCCCAGGUAGGGUGGGGUGGUAUACAAGAGAUGCGGUUGCCCUUGCUCCUGGCUGGCCCAGCUGCCUGGGUUGGUCCUGUUAGCUUUGGCUCCGGGCCGGAGGGCAGACGACAUGAAGGAGGAGGAAGCCAGCCGCCAAGAGACUCGCCGUGGUAAAUUCAGCGUCUGCAGGGGUGCUUGACGCGGCGGAGCCCGCGACGCCGGCAGCGGAGCGACAUGUUGCUCCUGGUGCUGAAGCAGCAGCUGCCCACCCUCGCUGUGGUUGUGCUGAUGGCAGCAGCAGCCCGUCUAGGGUGGCCACUGCCGUGAUGCUGGCUGCAGCGCUCCAUGAAGCGAGUGGAGCCAGGAACAGGCAGAAGCCCCGCCCCCUCCUGAGUUGAUAGGGUGGGACCUUCGCGCUCACGGGUGCAGCCUCUGCCGCCCGGCUGUGGCUGCCGACCAAGGCCUCCCUGUGCUCUUGGGGGCCAGGAGCAGCCAGGAGCCCGCCCUCCCAGGCACAGCUACUGCGGCUCAAGCUGUGGCUGCAGACCCAGGCAUCUCUUCACUCUCCAGGGGCUGGGAAGGACCCCGCUGCCCGCGGAGGCUCAGAAAUGCCUGGUUCUGCUGCCUGGUCUCUCCCCGCUCCUGGUGCCUGCUCCACGGGCUCUGAAAUGUCUGCUCCCAGUGCCUGGCUGCUCCCUGCUCCCAGUGCCCACUCUCAUCUCAGAGCAAAGUUGAGGCCAAGGCCGGCGCUACUGCAACCCGGCCGGGUGUGCGCACACUCGGGCAGCGCUGACAUGCCAGCCCCCUGCUGCCUCGGCCCCCUCUGGACUUUGGGCGCCAAUGAGCACAGGAGGGAGGCCGAGGUGAGGGCUGAGGGCAGACCAGCACUGACCUGCAGGUGCCCCUCAGCAUGAACAGCCUGGGUGCUAUAAUGUUGUUCCUUCUGUUUUACUUCUAACUGCCCCUUCCUCCUGCUCGCCUCUGACUCUCUCAUUGCAUAAUUUUGCCCCCUCUUUCUCUCCUUCAUCUUCUCCCCUUUUCCUUGCCUCAUCUCAUUUCCUCCUUCUGUACCUAAAAAGUUUGGCAUUUGGGCUAAAAAAUGAAACAACCAUUUCUCUUCAGCCAUCUUCCAGCAUUAAGCUUCUAAUACAGAAGAGUUGGUGAGCCACCAACAAUUUGAAGACAUUUCUUCUAGUUCUAUUCCUGUUGCAUUCCCCUCCUGUUUAGUCCACUCACCAGACUAUUUUUGAGUUGUGCCCUAGCUCUCUCUCCAUGCUUCCACCCACCAGGACCUGGUAGAUCUUACCCUCCUCACACUGCUCAUUCAGCUGGUUAGAAAUGAAGCCUCCCACCAGUCAGAACUGGGAAACAUGGUGGGAACUAAAGAAUUCUCUGUCUCCCCUUUCCUCAUUGUUAGUCUUCAGUUCACUCUCUCCAGGAGCACCUAAAACAGCUUGUGACUAAACAUCCCAUUUGGAGCCCUGAGCAGAGACUGUGAUCCACUAGAUUAGGGCCUUGGGCUUCAAGCCUAUACUUAUUUCUAGCCUUUGGCCUAUAUUUAGACUUUCUGGGUACUCAUGCAGAGGCUAACCACACCAUGCUUUUUCCCCUAGGACAGACCAUAAUGAAAGAUGCUUUACCUUGAAAACUAAAUGGACAGGACUUGAUCACAAAGCAUCACCUCUCCCCUGGACUCCAGAGGAUCGUUCCUAACUGCUUACUUGACACAUCUAUUAGGUAUCUCAAACUGGAAGGUCUAAAACUGAACUCUCCCUCCUCCAUAAUCUGCCUCCCCUUAGCCUUCCCUUUGUCAGUAAAUGAUGAGUUUUUUCCUUCUAUUGCUCAGGUCAAAAAAUCCUUUUUGUGGCUCAUUUACUUCUUGCACAUCAACAAAUCCUAUUAACUCUACCUGCAAAAUAUACCCAGAAUUCAAAUCUUGCUUGCCACGCGGCCUGUUGCCAUCCAGUCCACCAACGUGGCUUGCAGCACCUCUCAACUGUUCUCUCUGCCUUACUCUUGUGUUCUAUAUUCUACCCUCCACACGCAGCCAGAGGAUCCUUUUUGUUUUUCUUUCUUGAGACAGUAUCUUGUUCCAUCACUGAGGCUGGAAUGCAGUGGCACGAUCACAGCUCACUGCAUCCUUGAAGUCCUAGCUCAAGCAAUCCUCCCAUCUCAACCCCCAAGUAGCUAAGACGACAGGUGCAUGCCAACAUGCCCAGCAAAUUCUUUAAAUCUUUUGUAGAGAUGGUCUCCCACUAUGUUGUCCAGGCUGGUCUCAAACUCCUGGCACAAGUGAUCCUCCCUCCUUGAGCUCCCAAAGAUUUGGGAUUACAGGCAUGAGUUGGGAUUACAGGCAUGAGCCACCAUAACCAGCCAAGGGGAUCCUUGAAAAGCAGGAAAGAUCUUAUCACACAGCUCAAAACCUUCCUUUUCACUCACUGUCAAUCCAAAGGCUAGCACCAGGUCCUCUCACUCAGUUUCAACCAUACUGUCUGUUUUGCAUUUCUUGUUGGCCUUUUCUUCUGCUCUUCUCUUUCCCUGGAGCCCUCUUCCCUCAGAUAUUUUAUCUAGUCACUCCUUGACUCUCUUGAAAUUUCUGCUCAAAUGCCACAUACUGAGAGACCUUCUGAACCACUUGCAUCUCUCCCUAACCUCUUUCUAUGCGUUAUUUUUCUCAACAGUAUGUAUCACUACCCAUCCCCACCAAAUAAUUAUUUUAUUUAGUCUAGGUGUUUCUGCUGGAAUGUGAGCAUCUUGAGGACAGAUAAUUUGUUUUAUUCUCUGCAGCAUCCCUGGUCCAUGGGGCUCAGCUAGAGCAAGGGACUUUUCUGGGCAAGGCAAAAAGAACAAAGACAGAUCAAGCACCUUUAGGAAAAGGUACCAAGCUUGCUGGGGCAUAUGGGAGACAGGGAGGUGAGGUCAGGCUGGCCAGAAGGGUCUGAAGGCCAAAUAGGCCACCAGAAGCAUUAGGAUAUGAGGGUAAUGGAAAACAACCCUCCUCCAUUGUUCACUUUCUCCCGUCAGACAGGACUCCAAAGUGAUAAAAAAUUGUCCACCUUAGGGAUAGAACAAGAUGACAGAAAAGGAUUCUCCAUUUCUUUCUUUUCUUUUUAUUUUAUUUAUUUAUUUAUUUAUUUAUUUUUGAGACAGAGUCUUGCUCUGUCACCCAGGCUUGAGUACAAUGGUGCGAUCUUGGCUCACUGCAACCUCCACCUCCCGGGUUCAAGUAAUUCUUCUGACUCAGCCUCCCAAGUAGCUGGGACUAUAGGCACCUGCCACCACGCCCAGCUAAUUUUUUGUAUUUUUAAUAGAGGUAGUGUUUCACCAUGUUGGCCAGGCUGGUCUCAAACUCCCAACCUCAGGUGAUUCCUCCUGCCUCAGCCUCCCAAAGUGCUGGGAUUACAGUCAUGAGCCACCGUGAAAAAUAUUUUCAUUUGUGAAUAGUAGUUCAAAUUGAUGUAUCUAAAGGGGGAUAGGAAAUGGAGAAUCCUGGUCCAGACACGGUGGCUCACGCCUGUAAUACCAGCACUUUGGGAGGCUAAGGCAGGAAGAAUCACCUGAGGUCGGGAGUUUGAGACCAGCCUGAUCAACAUGGAGAAACCCCGUCUCUACUAAAAAUACAAAAUUAGGCAGUGUGGGUGGCACGUGUCUGUAAUCCCAGCUACACGGGAGGCUGAGGCAGGAGAAUCGCUUGAACCCAGGAGGCGGAGGUUGCAGUGAGCCGAGAUUGCACCAUUGUACUCCCGCCUGGGCAACAAGAGCGAAAUUCUGCCUCAAAAAAAAAAAAAAAGAAGUAAGGAAACCAGAUGAGAGACCACAGCACCUGGGUAUAGCAAAGAAAUAAGAAGAGCGGCAUUGGCUGCGCUUGGUGGCUCAUGCCUGUAAUCUGAGCACUUCAGAAGGCUGAGGCAGGUGGAUUGGUUGAGUUCAGGAGACCCCAUGUCUACAAAAAAUAUACAAAAAUUAUCUAGGUGUGGUGGUGUGCACCUGUAGUUCCAGCUACUCAAAAGGCUGAAGUGGGAGGAUGGCUUGAGCCUGGGAGGGCAGAGGUUGUGGUGAGUCAAGAUGCCAGGAUUGCACCACUGUAUUCCAGCCUGGGUGAAAGAGCCAGACACUGGCAAAAAAAAAAAAAAAAAAAAAAAAAAAAAAAAAAAAAAAAAAAAAAAAAAAAAACACCCAAAAAGGAAGAGGGGCAUCGAAGAUGGUAGGAAGGACAGUUUUACAUUUGCCUACAUCACCCUUUCUUCAACCUCAAGCAGCACAGCAGAGAGAGAUACUUUCCACUUGGAGAAAGAAGAGAGAAGUGAGCACUGGACUUUGCCUUGGACCCUAACACUGGGCCCACCCCAGUCAAACCCAGCACCAGGAAGGCCCCAAUAUCCCCAGACACUAAGCCAGUACAUGAGGUCUAAGCCUUCAAGCGUCCCUGGCCCCAGGCUGGAUCCUGCAUCCCCAGGUUCCAGAGCAGGGACUCAGUCUCUGGCCUCUGAGCCUACUCCAGCACCAGGCCAGCACCAGUGGCACAGGCCUUCAAGCUUACCCAAGCACUAGGUCAGGCCCUACAGACUCAGUCUCCAGACACACCCCAGGGUUAGGCUGACCCUGGUAGCCCAAGAUCCUAGGCCUGCCUCUGCAGCUCCAGGCUUCAGGCCCACCCCAGGGCCAAGUUAGCACGUCUAGCCUCAGGCACCAGGUCAACACCCUUAGACCUUAAAGACCUAGUCUCCAAAAUAGCACAUACACACACCCUUAGCCUUCAGGCCAACCCCUGUAGACCUAGGCUUCAGGCCAGCCCUCGAGGAUCCAGGUACCUGGUAAGUACGUAUAAUCCCAGGCUCCAGUGGACUCGGGGUCCAGGCCACCCCAGCAGACCCUGGAGCCAGGCCAGCCUCUGUGGACUGAGGAUCCAGUGAUACUGUUGCAGAUUCAGGCCUCCAAGCCAGCCUCUGUGAACUCAGGACAUAGGUUUACUCCUGUAGACUUAGGCUCCAGAGGACACAGACUCCAGGCCCAUCUCAGUACCUGGCUGGUCCCUGCAGACUCAGGCUCAAGACCCACUCCAGUGGCAAGUCAGCCCUUGUAGACCUGGGAUUCAGGUUUGCCACAAGGGACACAGGUUCUAGGUCCACCCCAGCAGAUCCAAUCAACUGGUCCACCCUAGUGGAUCCAGCUUUCAGACCUGCCCGUCUGCUCAUCCAGUCACUAGACCAGCAAACCUGAGGACUUAAGCAGCAGGCUCACCCAUUGGCCACAACAGGCGGCCUGCCCAGAAUUUCUGUACAGGCUGACUGAUAGAUAAAGGGUGUUUUUAGAUAAUCAGGUCUUCAAAGACUGGAAUAAGUAGCUACUUCUUCAAAUAUGCACACACCAAUGCAUGGAACAAUCAAGAACAAUUAGAAAUAUGCAUCACCAGCUGGGUGCAGUGGCUCACGCCUGUAAUUCCAGCACUUUUGGAGGCCGAGGACUGUGGAUCACUUGAGGACAGGAGUUCAAGACCAGCCUGGCCAAUAUGGUGAAACCCCAUCUCUACUAAAAUAUACAAAAAUUAGCCGGGUAUGGUGGUGCAUGCCUGUAGUCCCGCUACUCAGGAGCCUGAAGUAGGAGAAUCGCUUGAACUCAGGAAGCAGAAGUUGCAGUGAGCCGAGAUCAUACCACUGCACUGCAGCCUGGGCGACAGAGUGAGACUCCAUCUCCAAAAAAAAAAAAAAGAAAAGAAAAGAAAUAUGCAUCACCAAAGGGACAAAAUAAAGCACCAGUGACUGACUCUAAAAAGAUGGAGAUGUAUAAAUUGCUCAACAAAGAAUUCAAAAUACUUUGAAUAUGAAUGGAUUAAAUUUUCCAAUUAAAAAACAUAGAGUGGCUGAGUGAAUUAAAAAAAAAAAGACCCAACUAUAUGUUGCCUACAAAGCACUCACUUCACCUAUGAAGACACACAUAUACUGAAAGUAAAGGGAUAGAAAAAGAUACUCCAAGCAAAUGGAAACCAAAGGAGAACAGGAGCAGGUAUACUUAGAUAAAAUAAACUUUAAAACCUUAAGUCAAAAAUUGUAAAAAGAGAUAAAUAAGGUCACUACAUAAAAAUAAAGGGAUCAAUUCAGCAAAAAGAUACAACAAUUGUAAAUAUAUAUUCACCCAACAUUGGGAUACCUAAAUAUAUAAAGCAAUAUUAAUACAGGUAAAAGGAGACAUAGGUUGCAAUAUAAUAAGAGUAGGGGACUUAAACACCCCACUUUCAGCAAUGGACAGAUAAUCCAGACAGAAAAUCAAUAAGGAAACAUCAGACAUAGACUAAACUCUAGACCAAAUGGACCUAACACGUGUACACAGGACAUUCCAUCCAACAGCAGAAGAAUGCAUUAUCUUAUAUGUAGAAAACCCUAAGGACUACACUAAAAAAGUCUGUUAGAACUAAUAAAUUAAUUCAGUAAAGUUGGAGGAUCAAUAUACACAAUCAGUAGCAUUUCUACACAGUAAUAGUAAACUAUCCGGAAAACAAAUCAAGAAAACAAUCUCAUUUACAGUAGCUAAAAAAAGAUAAAAUACUUAAGAAUAAAUUUAACCAAUGAGCUCUACACUAAAAACUAUAAAACAUUAAUGAAAGAAAUUGAAGAAGAAAUCACUAAAUGGAAAGAUAUUUCAUUUUAAUGGAUUGGAGGUAUCAAUAUUAUUAAAAUGUCCAUGCUACCAGAGCAAUCUACAGAUUCAAUGCAAUCCCUAUAAAAAUUCCAAUGACAGUUUUCACAAAAUAGAAAAGACAAUACUUAAAUACCUUUGAGGAAGAAAAAACAAUCCCAAAAUUUGUACAGAAUCAAAAAGAAACUACUCAAUGAUAAGAAAGCAAAUAACCCACUUAAAUAAUAGGCAAAGAAUCUGAAUAGACAUUUCUCUAGGGAAGACAUACAAAUGGCCAACAGAUAUAUGCAAACGUGCUUAAUAUCACGAAUCAUCAGGGAAAUGCAACUUACAACCACAAUGAGAUAUUACCUUCUGGCCGGGCCCUGUGGCUCACGCCCAUAAUCCCAGCACUUUGGGAGGCCGAGGCAGGUGGAUCACCUGAGGAAUUCGAGACAAGCCUGUCCA
rnacentral:lncRNA from 1 species